ACCGUUUAUCAUAAUAACCACACUAUUUAUUCUUAAAAUAUACCGUAACAAAAAAUGGACAAUAAAAAUAUGGCUUAAAGGAAUUAGACAUGUUUUGGACGGAUAGUUCAAUGUCCCGAAUACAGCUUACUUUACGGCAAACAGAGGAGGAACGACAAACAUUCUGCAUGCAGUGGUGGAAAUGUUGUCAAACAAAAGACGGUCUGCGGAGAAAUAAAAUAAACCCGAGUCUUGAUAUGGAGAAGGAGCCAUCAGGAGCAUCUAGUACAGAUUCAGGAAGCACUGGAGGAUUCGGUCUGUUUGGGUCAGCUGGCCCACAGUAUUCAAAGACAGAGCUCGCUGGAGUGCCAUUGACAGGCAUGAGUCGUCUGUCUCCAUACCUUAAUGUGGACCCCAGGUAUCUCAUACAGGAUACAGAUGAAUUCAUUUUGCCCACUGGAGCAAAUAAGACGAGAGGACGCUUUGAGCUGGCUUUCUUUACUAUUGGUGGUUGCUGUAUCACAGGUGCUCUGUUUGGAGCGAUGAAUGGACUUAGAAUGGGUUUGUCUGAAACCAGAAACAUGGCUUUGUCCAAACCUCGCAACGUACAAAUCCUGAAUAUGGUGACCCGCCAAGGUGCCACAUGGGCAAAUACUCUGGGCUCAAUAGCUCUGCUCUACAGUGUAUUUGGUGUGGUCAUAGAGAAGGCCAGAGGGGCAGAGGAUGACAUCAACACGAUUGUUGCGGGGACAAUGACUGGUGUGCUCUACAAAUCUCCAGGAGGUUUGCGUGGGGCAGCCCGGGGUGGGUUGGUUGGGCUGACCUUUUCUGGACUCUAUGCCCUGUACAAUAACUGGGACCAUCUGAAGGGCUACUGAGAAAACUGCCAUUUCUGUAAAGAGUGUCUGCAAAUGAGUGCAUGUUAAUGAGAGACGGCUUUAUCUCAUCUGUGCUAUGCAUGAUUGGGUUGCGUGGAUGUCAUCUUUGGACACAGAACAAGUCGAAACAAACUUUUGCUCUGAACACACAGUGAAAGGAUCUUGCUGCUGAAUACUUCACCUUUAUACUACACAAAUCACUGUCUUCCAUUAUAAGAUGCAUAGUUCCAGACCUAGAUGCUGAUUGGUCAAUGGGGUGUUCCAGCAUGUUAGAAUACACAGGUAAAUGCAAUACACCUGUUCAUUUAACUGGUGUAUUUACUACUGUGCACAUUCUGUUAUUGUUGACAUCUCUGCAUUCCACAUGGCAUAAGUGAUGCCUUCAGAGGACACUUCAAAAGGAGAACAAUAAUAGUCAUGCUGGAAGAUUGUUUCAAACAGAAUUUCCAAUAAAAAUUAUUUUAAAAUAGUUCCCAAUGACCGUUACUUUUUUCACCUCAUAUGAUCGCUUCUAAAUGGAACGCACCCUUUAUCUUUAAGCGGAGAGAUGGCACUUGAAUUUGCUUAGUAAAAGCAAAAUUUUAUAUUUUUUUCUUUAUACUGGAUUUUAUGUAGUAACUGUUUUAUAAAAACAAAAAUGUGCUCAAUAUGCUAGUAUAUUGUAAAUAUAAAUGACCUUUAGCCAUGAUUGCUUUACUCCAUUCAACACUUUUUCGCAUGAAGAUCUUGCUCACUUAAAACCUUACAGUACUGGGGUCAAUAGGAGAUUUGUGAAGUUUUGUUAUAAGCACAAUUUUUUAAGACAAGAAUUUCAAGGAGGGCCUUGGUAGCUCAGCGAGUAUUGAUGCUGACUACCACCCCUGAAGUCACGAGUUUGAAUCCAGGGCGUGCUGAGUGACUCCAGCCAGGUCUCCUAAGUAACCAAAUUGGCCCAGUUGCUAGGGUGGGUAGAGUCACAUGGGGUAACCUCCUCUUGGUCGUGAUUAGUGGUUCUCGCUCUCAAUGGGGCACGUGGUAAGUUGUGCGUGGAUCGCGGAGAGUAGCAUGAGCCUCCACAUGUUGCGAGUCUCCGCGGUGUCGUGCACAACAAGCCACGUGAUAAGAUGCGCGGAUUGGUGGUCUCAGAAGCGGAGGCAACUGAGACUUGUCCUACCACCACCUGGAUUUAGGCGAGUAACCGCGCCACCACGAGGACCUACUAAGUAGUGGGAAUUGGGCAUUCCAAAUUGGGGUAAAAAGGAAAUAAUAAACUGAAUAAAAAAAUUAUCUGUUUGUUUGAUUUACAUUUGAAAGCAUUGUUGUCAUAUGCUUGCUUGUCAUCUUUGUCAUGUGAACUUUCUGACAUCCUGCAAAUAUCCCAUCGUGUCAGUAAUGCUAUAUGACUGAAACUUAGAACAACACCUGCAGUAUAAUAUGAUAUACAGACGAAGGGCAGGAUCUUAUGAUUCCUGGAGUGUCUCUGCAAUAGAAAGAGGCUAAACUUGUCCCAAGAGUGUUGAUCUUGAACAAUUUUUCAUUUGAGAUGAACUACAUUUAAGAUUAUCAGCUGCUGUUUUGACCUUAAACAUUUGAACAUUGACGGAGCAAUAGCAUAAACAGUUCAACAAUGUAAUGAAAACUAAAAUAGGGAACUCAUAUUCAGAGAACAUGCAAUGAACAGAACAAAGCUCAGCCUGUCCACAGUUCCAGAGCUUUCCUGCAUGACUGCAUGCAUUAUUAACCAGAGAAAAGGGAAAGAAUUCCAUAUUUGGCCAUUGCAAUUAAAACCCUUUUUAUACAUAGCCUAAAUUGCUGACAUGCGUAUGUCUCCCUGAGUUUUAAUAAAUAACAUUAUUAUCAGAUUAUUUACAUACCGUGUUUUUUUAUUAGGUGCUACUAUGGCAUAACCAUGUUGCAUGUCCAAAAACAUUACAAUGCCUUUUUGUCCACAAAGUACAUUUUGGUAUAUAUUUGUUAUAUUUUUUGUUGUCAAAUAAAGCUGCGAAUAUAGUCGCUUAAAGAACGUAAUGUCGUUUUCGAUUUACUCGCAGACAAACCAGAAGCGACACCAAAACAAACAUCAAAACCCAAGAUUUCUGCCAAAACAAAAAGCUAUUGCACAGGCAUGAAAGACAUAACACUAUAAUGCCGGGAGCUACGACUCCCAGUUCAGUUAUUUU